AAGUCGAGCGGGCCCUUCGGGGUCAGCGGCAGACGGGUGAGUAACGCGUGGGAACGUGCCCUUCGGUUCGGAAUAACCCUGGGAAACUAGGGCUAAUACCGGAUACGCCCCUUGGGGGAAAGGUUUACUGCCGAAGGAUCGGCCCGCGUCUGAUUAGCUAGUUGGUGAGGUAACGGCUCACCAAGGCGACGAUCAGUAGCUGGUCUGAGAGGAUGAUCAGCCACACUGGGACUGAGACACGGCCCAGACUCCUACGGGAGGCAGCAGAAGGG
rnacentral:rRNA from 1 species